rnacentral:snoRNA from 1 species
AUGCAUCUCUGACAGAUCUGAAACAGUACUGUCUGCUGCUGGGGUUUCCACUACAGAUGCAAGAAAAACGUGGCCUCCUUCUUUCUGUCUGACUGUGGCACCCAAGGUUGAAUAGAGUAACACAGGG